AGCCUGUUGACGGUUGUGCUCCUUUUGUAUUAGUAUAUGAAUUAUAAAUAAAUAAAAGUUAUUUUGAUAUUUUUUAUCACAAAUUAUUUUAUCUUCUAAUGAACUCUUGUAUUGUGGUGAAGUCCUUAGGACUAUUUAGACUCGACAAAGGAGGAUGUGUCAUUUAGUCCUUAAACCUGUUCGCGACCAAAUGAUACAUUGUUACCAAGGAUGACAACGUUUAUCAAGCAUAGGUCGUUGUGUGCCAUAUGGGUUGGUUGUCUCCUUAACCAAGGAGUGUGGAGAUAUUGGUAUGGCAUACAGAUGAGAUGCUCAGGUACAUCUGCACUGAACGUGACCAACUUCGAAACUAUUUCUGCUGUUAAGAUUUACUCCGAUGGGAUAUGGGUAUAACUGUCCCUCCGACCUGAGACCGCCACAGUGACUUGCAACUUGCAAGCAACUCACUGUACUUAGGCACUGGACAACCUGAAUUUCUAAUUCAGUGAUGAAAGGAUGCUGGGUGUAGUCAAGUACUUGAUUUGUCGGUACGUGUGUCAAGAUGGGAUUAACCACUCCAGUUCAGAAGCUAUGUACAGUCGUAUUUUAAUUUAACAAAACCUUGACUAGGAUAGUCCUAGUGAGG
rnacentral:lncRNA from 1 species